GGAGCAGCCAGCGCCGUGCGCGCGCUUGCCGGCUGGAAAGGCUCCGGGCCCCGCGGCCAGCUUUUGGCUCCUGGCAGCCGGGCCGGGGUUCGCCGCCUCCUUUGUUAAUCUGCACGCAGGGCAAGCGGAGCUUGUCAACAUAGACUGUCAGUGGCUCUUCAGGAACCUCCUGGGCUAUCAGCACAAGACUGGCACUGCUGAUGCAUCUAAACAUUAUAAAAGUGUAACUGACAACCACACUGCUUUCUUAAAAAAUUUCAGCAUUAUUUCAUAAUUUUAGUGUGUAAGCCUUUUACAUGCUACUUGGUUCUAUUUAUUUCUUUAUAUAGACAAUUCUGUUGAUGAUGUAAGUAGGAUAUUUUUGAGACAGGAUCUCACUAUGUAGCCACAAGAAUUACUGUCUUAGUGUCUUUAUUCACAGUUUGCUGUUUGUGUACAGAAACAUUGUUGCUGUUUGUGUGUUGACUUUGCAUCCUGAAGCUUCUCUGAAUUGGUCUGUUGUUUUUGGUUUUGGUUUGAAUAUUUCUAUUUUCAAUAUAUAGGAUCAUAAGGUCUGCAGAGACACUUUA